rnacentral:lncRNA from 1 species
GUUCAUUCCCAUCCACUUGCUAGGCACGCACUGUGCCACUGAUCUAUAUCCCCAGCCCAGAAUUUUUAAAUAACUACUUUUUUUAAUCCAUCACUGGAAGCUUUCUGUUCUUUUUUGACUUGUUUGUAAACACUCCAGGCCCGGUGACCUGCAAUCGCUUUGCAGUGACUUUCAAGGAGCCAUGAGAAGCCACAGAGUCGUUUUCCAAGCAAGACAACCUGUGUUCCGAUCCCUGGACUUGCCGGGCAGAGGUUCAGGGUCAAGCAGGACCUGCACCCCAAACCCAGCUGCGCCCCGGGAAUGUGACCCUUCAGGUUCGCAGCACGGCGCAGACCUUUGCGGUGAUUCCCUCGCCCGCCCGUUUCACAGUACCUCCUGCCUCCCCUGCGCCGAGGAAAACGAUGUCAGUCGAAAAUUUCCUGGGAACAAUGAGCGGAUUGAAGUGAACCUUAGUUGAAAAAGAAACAAGAAAUAAAAUAGGAACCCAAUCAUCCAAUGAAGAAAACCGAGGAGCUUGUUGAAACGCUUUCGUAACAUUUCUGGGAAAACUAGUCAACCGUGAGAACCGAGCAUGCGUUACAUGUCCAGUAGAGGGCACCGCAGCCAAAGCACACGAGGACGGGCUCGGCCCCUUGAUUGGCCCUAGUAGGUCCUUUUAAGUAUAAGGCCGGGGCUGGGGAUUUAGCUCAGCGGCAAAGCGCCUGCCUGGCAAGUGCAAGGUCGUGAGUUCGGUUCCCGGUACCGGAGAAAAACAAAAAAAAAAAAAAAAAAAAAAAGAAUAAGGCCAAAAGCGAGUUGCAAAAGAAAAGGCCGCUGUUUUUCUGACCUGAUAAGGCAAACAGUGCGUAAGGUAGUCUUUGCUUAAAAUAAAAGCAAUGAUCAUCGAUUUUCCGGGAGCAGUAGCUGCAAAGUAGCUGACUCGGGCGUGCAGAAGGGGCCCAGCCCAGAGCGCCGCCAGCGUCGGAUCCCGAGCAGGGGGACCUUGGACGACUCGCCGCGAAGCCGCGGGAAGAGGUCGGACGGAGAGCAGCCUUAGGGACGCGGUGAGUGCUGGGAAGGUCAAGUGGUCAAAUGCGCGCCCCGUGUGACCAAGAAGAUGGGGGC